ACUCCUACGGGAGGCAGCAGUGGGGAAUAUUGCACAAUGGGGGAAACCCUGAUGCAGCCAUGCCGCGUGUGUGAAGAAGGCCUUCGGGUUGUAAAGCACUUUCAGUAGGGAGGAAGGUAGUGUAGUUAACACCUGCAUUAUUUGACGUUACCUACAGAAGAGGCACCGGCUAACUCCGUGCCAGCAGCCGCGGUAAUACGGAGGGUGCGAGCGUUAAUCGGAAUUACUGGGCGUAAAGCGCAUGCAGGCGGCCUGUUAAGUCAGAUGUGAAAGCCCGGGGCUUAACCUCGGAAUUGCAUUUGAAACUGGCAGGCUAGAGUCUUGUAGAGGGGUUAGAAUUUCAGGUGUAGCGGUGAAAUGCGUAGAGAUCUGAAGGAAUACCAGUGGCGAAGGCGGCCCCUGGACAAAGACUGACGCUCAGAUGCGAAAGCGUGGGAGCAAACAGGAUUAGAUACCCCUGGUAGACUGUCA
rnacentral:rRNA from 1 species